GCCUACGGGGGGCAGCAGUAGGGAAUCUUCCACAAUGGGCGAAAGCCUGAUGGAGCAACGCCGCGUGGGUGAAGAAGGUCUUCGGAUCGUAAAACCCUGUUGUUAGAGAAGAAAGUGCGUGAGAGUAACUGUUCACGUUUCGACGGUAUCUAACCAGAAAGCCACGGCUAACUACGUGCCAGCAGCCGCGGUAAUACGUAGGUGGCAAGCGUUAUCCGGAUUUAUCGGGCGUAAAGGGAACGCAGGCGGUCUUUUAAGUCUGAUGUGAAAGCCUUCGGCUUAACCGGAGUAGUGCAUUGGAAACU
rnacentral:rRNA from 1 species